GGCUGGUUGGCGCAAUGGUAGCGCGUGGUCCUCCUAUGUAAGGGUAGACUGAGGUUGCGGGUUCGAGUCCCGUGCUGGUCG